UAGCGUAGCUCUGCGCGGUGAUGACGUAAUCACCGGCGAAUUAACCAAACGAGCUGCUGCGGAAACGGAGCGUUGAGGGUUGGAGGGGGGCGCAGGCGAGGGGACGAGGGAGCACACCGCGGCGCGUCCUUCGUUGGGCCGCCGCCGAUCCCAAGCCUUUACCGCCGGCCACCUCGGUCGCCCCUCCCGCUCCUCGACGCCGACGAGCGGCGGCGGCUCCGGCCGCUGCCGCCGCGCGGGCGCCCCCUCUUCAGCACCGCGGAGUUGAAGCUGCCGGAGGCGGGCGGCCUCCGCGCGGUCCUCUCCGGGCGGGCUCCCGAGGUGAUGGUGACGGAGCCGCAGUAUCCGGUUCGAGGACUCCUACAACAGCGACUUAUGAUGGUUGUCGUUCACCUUUACGAUCUCCCAAAGUUACUUUACCUACGCAACUGUCUAGCACCAAAAGAAGGACCUUACAGGUUCCUUCUCGCACUUGUCCAACGAUCCUCACUUUGUAAUCGGUAGUCCGACAGUUUGUAACGUUUGUACCAAGAAAAACGACGUUUUCACAUACGAAGUCAUGCCUCACCGAGCGAACGAUAAUAUCGAAGGUGAAACCUAAGAGAAGAACUGAACAAUAGUCCCAAGUAGAAUACCAAAUGACGGAAAAGAUACGUUUGUGGUUUAGGGAUGUCUAUGGGUUAACCAUUUUUCGCGUACGUCGGCGACCCUUAUGAACAGAAACGGAGUCAGUACCGUUGCGAACCGGAAGUCUAGUAGAAUCUUAGUUGAGCUAGUGACAACAGACUACCUCCACUUAAGUCGAACUGCUUCCUCGUCCUUUUCACCCAACACCUGUAGUACAAGAGUCACUGCGACCACUUUGAACGGGACCGAAAUAUAACGGCGUGCAAGUGGUUGCUUUAGCAGUUCCGAAUACGUGUCCUAGUGUAAAAGCUACAAUAGUGAUUAUAUUAACCAGAACACCGACGUGAUGAGCGUUUAAUAAAGCUUCCUACCUAGCUGGGACAACCACGUUAAUAAGAUCGUUAGAUGUGGUAGUCCUGUACCAGCUACUGCCACGAUCUUUUGCAGGUGAGUGAGCACCCCGUUAGCCGAAGCGGUCUUAUGGAAGUCUUCGACUGGAUGGAAACGACCUUGGUGGUGUUCCGGCACUCCGUGUAACUGUGCCACGCGCGGAUGUGCAAGCCGAGCGUGAUGAAGCACCUCCACCUGUAGCACGACGGCCGCCCGUACGGCGACGUCCUCCGCGUGCUGUAGCCGCUCCGGGACGUCCUCUUCGACCUCGCGGACGGACUCUAGCUCGCGCGGAAACAGGUGGAGCUGAUGCUCAAGUGGGUAGCCGGGCUCGUGCGAGACAGCGUACUCUUCAUCGAAGUCCUAGUCGGCCACCUACGUCGAGACAUGUCUAAUUACCGUUAUCAAAACCUUUAGGCCACAAGCAGUUCCGCAGCGUCUUUUUGGACGCCCACGCCGUGCGUUAACUUUACACGUAUGACCUCACGGCCUAGACCGCUACAGCUGCAUCUAACACAGAAAACAUUCAACGACACGAUGCAUGCAUCGUAUAUAUAAAUUUACAGGAGAUAUGGGACUAGUACCGGAGUAAAAAUAACGACCAAGUGUGUACUGAUACUUGUUUCGAACGUUUUCCAAUGAUUCGUCGUCUCCUGUAGUUACAUCUACGUCGUUGUCCUUUCUUCUCCUACCCCUGCAUACGUCGUAUAAUGAGCGGUGUAUAUUCAAGACAUUAUACCCACGACUACUAGAUAGAGGAGCUCUAACGGUCUAGUGAACCACCGCGAGCCUUUUCCCCGCUUAAACCAUAGGUGGCACCGUAUCCAACCCGGAAGCUUUGC
rnacentral:rRNA from 1 species